UGCGACGCAAUCCCUGGAGCAUAUUGUGAUUCUACAACGAGUAAAUGCAAAUGUGGGGCUCUCUACACGGCUGGUACCGCGGGAGCUUCCGGGACUUGCGUGGUUACCCCCUGCCUAACUGCGACCGCCACAACUUGCACUGACUUGGACAGCAACUCUCGCUGUGCUAAUUUGAACUGUGACUGCGCAACCGGCUAUGACGUAUACGGAAGUUCCAGCAAAUGCCAGUCUGCCGGCAGCGGAAGCGUAGGUCUGAUGGCGUCCGCCUUCAUGUUGGCAGUUGGAGUCUUCUUUACAAUUCUUAGCUUCUAAAGUCCACAGAGUUCACCUCCCCUCCAAAAAAGACAUGCUAUCUAGAUUAAAUAUGUCUUCUCUAAUUUCCUUACUGACAUUUUGCAUGUAGCGUUAUUAAGUUUUAUUUACGUGUCGUAACAAAACCAACAUAAACAUUGGUACUCACGAAAUCGUUUCGCGUUUAUAAUUUUAUCCACUUAAAAGGGGCAUUUUCAUGUUGUGAUAAAUUGACAAAAUUUUAAAAAAUGUUUUAAAUUAUUCAUUAUAUGCAUCUUUUGAUGAUUUAAACACCUGAACAAUAUAAAGCGCUGCAGCGCGAAACGAUUGAAACGGUUCUGUUAUUUUCGUUAUAUUUUGUGAUACUGUGAUGAUUGCUUAUAUAAAGUAUAACAUACACCACUCAUUGUAUUUACACGAAUGGCCAAGUGGUCUUAGCUAUAAAUUUUUAAUCCAGGGAUCAGUGGUUCGAUCCCAGUUGACGGUUACUUAUUUAUCUUUCUUUGAUUUUAUUUUUUGUUUUUGUUACUGGAGCUUUUAAGAUCCAAUGUUUGCAUUUAUUAAUAUAAAGCAUUUUAGAAAACAUCAAUGCAUUCCAAAUCUGUGAAAUACCCCUUUUAGCAAUGAUUUCUCAUGACAGAACAGGUCUUUUUAUGUAAAUGUUUACGCCAGUGAUGCUCUUUUUGUUCACUGUUCUUUUUUUAAUAUGUGACAGAAGAUUGAAAUAUGUUGAAAUCUCCAAAUUGUGAUAAAGAUCUUUAAACAUUUACUCUUAUUAUUUACCAAUGUUUAUUUGCAAUAACAUACAUAUAAUCAAUUUGGUUUUUGCAUGUUGCAAUAACAUUGAAUUUAGUGUGUUUCAAUACAAGCGAUUCAUAUAUCGGCCAUUUCUUUUGUGUGAUAUUUAUAGUACGAUGUAUUUUUGUAUUGUUUAAACAAAACAUAUCAAUCAAUAAUAAUCUAUUGAUGAUAUUAUUUGUUUUUACUAUAAAUAGAUUCAUUUGCUUACAUGAUCACAAAAGUAGUGGAACAUAAACUUCUGAUAAAACGAGAAGAUACAACAUGUGAUCUGUUGUUAUUUUGGUGUGAAUGAAUCCUUAUGUGUU